AGAGUUUGAUCCUGGCUCAGAACGAACGCUGGCGGCGUGCUUAACACAUGCAAGUCGAACGGGAUCCAGAGCUUGCUCUGGUGAGAGUGGCGCACGGGUGAGUAACGCGUGGAUAACCUGCCCUGGUAUCCGGAAUAACAUCUCGAAAGGGGUGCUAAUACCGGAUAAGCCUACGGAGCCCUCGGUCUCUGCAGGAAAAGGUGGCCUCUAUUUAUAAGCUACCGUAUCAGGAUGGGUCCGCGUACCAUUAGCUAGUUGGUGGGGUAAUGGCCUACCAAGGCUACGAUGGUUAGCUGGUCUGAGAGGAUGAUCAGCCACACUGGAACUGAGACACGGUCCAGACUCCUACGGGAGGCAGCAGUGGGGAAUUUUGCGCAAUGGGGGAAACCCUGACGCAGCAACGCCGCGUGAGUGAUGAAGGCUUUCGGGUCGUAAAGCUCUGUCAGAGGGGAAGAAAUGAGAUUGGCUGAUAUCCAAUUUUCUUGACGGUACCCUCAAAGGAAGCACCGGCUAACUCCGUGCCAGCAGCCGCGGUAA
rnacentral:rRNA from 1 species